UUGGCUAUUCGCUCUAUCGCUGUCCCGUACACACGGGAUAGAGGAAAGUCGGGACAACACAGGACGCCAUACUUCCUAACGGGAAGGUGUUCCGUUUAUACGGAAUAACAGCAAGUGCAACAGAAAGCAUACCGCCUAAGAUUGUUUUCGAACAAUCCGGUAAGGGUGAAACUGUGAGGUAAGAGCUCACGCCUGUUUUAUGUGAAUAAAACCGGAGGUAAACCUUAUGGGUUGAAAGACCAAAUAAACCGAGAAUUUUUUGUUCGUCAAAAAGGAAGGUCGGUCCGGCCAAUCUCGGAGGGUAGGUCGCUAGAGCUGCAGAGUGAUUUGCAGCCCAGAUAAAUGGUAGAGGUUCCGCUUAGCGGAAUACAGAAUCCCGCUUAUAGAAUAGCCAAACAU
rnacentral:RNase_P_RNA from 1 species